rnacentral:lncRNA from 1 species
CUUGGGUGAGCUGUUAAGCAUGAUACUUACUAAAGGUCUUUUUCAUUAAGGAAAAAGGGUCAUUCACACUAGGGAAGAGAGUUUCCUCCAUACGAAUGGAUGGAUGAUUGCUGGUUAAUCUAGAGUCAAAACAUAAUGCACCUCCUUUUCUAAAAGUUAUCUGCACAAAGCUAUUUGGGAAGAAUCAAAAAGAAAAAAAGGCUGCUAUAUGUUUAAAAAGGGUUUGUACCAUGAUAUGUAGCUUACAUUUGGACUAUGUGCUAGCAGUAUUUGGUUAAACAUUCGACUAAAUCUUCUCCAAAGUGUCAUUCAUGAUUAUAGGGCAUCACAAAGCCUGACAUUUGUCAUUAUCAGUGAAGCCUGCAUUGAAAUACAUGCAGGUAACACUUCUUUGUCUGUGCCAGCAUAAAAUUGUGUAUACUAAUGAGAUACCUGGACUAUCUUGCAACGGAAGGUACCCCUCAGGCAACUGACAUGACCUCAGUUUUUUUAGGUCAUUUCAACUGCAUGGCAGUGAUGUUGUGAUGGCAGGCUCGCUGUUAACAUUACUACCUUUCCUGUAGUGUAAUAUUUGUUAUUUAUAGUCACUCUAGAAAGAUCCUCUCUUAUUCGCUGCUACGUUAUAUGUUCUUAUUUGCUCUUAUUGAUCCAAAUUGUUUGCUUGGAGAGUUUUUAUAUUGAACUUUGACAAACUGUAAUCCUGUCAGUUAGAUUUAUAAAACAUGACCGAGUUCUAUUUCAAGAUGAUUGUUCUAUUGCAGAAUGUUUUGAUGAAACAACAUAGACUUGCUUGAUGGGAAACUAAAGCCCAGUGGAUUUAUGAGGAACUGCUGGGACCUUGCAGCAUAAAGUUUCAUACCUUCUUACACGGGAGAGUUUAGAGUAAAUUCAGAAUGAUGUCCUUUCUACUUUCAUUGUUACUUUGUUCAUUGAAUGCAAAUGAAUUUUCAAGUAUAAAGAGCAUAAUUUAGCUGUCGAUCUUAAUUUUUGUAGUUUGCAAUAGUGAUUAGUCAAUGGGAUCUUGAAAGGAGUGGAUUUUGUGACCACAGCUGUAUUUGCUCAUGGGAGACUCGGAAUUGUACCACAUGAAUAGCCUGUUUGAAAUUGAGUGUGAAAUUGUGGAGUAUUAUUCGUGCAUGGUUGGUCAUAUCAUCCCGAACCACCCGAUUCGAAGCAUACUGAAUUAAACUAAUGAGAAAUCGGGAUGGCCUGCCCUGUCGGCUCAGUAAACAUCACCAGCAAGCAUCCCCCUCUCUUUCUGUGGGUUAGGUUUAAGGUUAGGAUUUCCCUUGGCCCUCCCCAUUCCUCCCAACCACCCUUCCUCCAUCUCUUGCUGCAUUAGUGUUAGGGUUAAGGCCCUUCCGCCUCCCUCUCUAUCAAUAUCUUACUUCAUCUCUCCUUUUCUUCCUCUCCCUCUCCUUCUCCUUCUCCCUCUCCUUGUCCCUCUCCCUAUUUUCGAUACACUCUAAAACAAACCAAUGUCGUGCCGAAUUGGUUGCUGGAUGGUAAUGCCUUUUGGUACCAGUACAGUGAACAUUGAUACCAUCUUUCCUAUGUGGUCACUAUACCAAAUAAGAGAUAGUUAGUGGUGCCAUAGAGCAAGAGAUUGAGUGAAACAAUGUUGGAAGGUGGUAGUUUGCUUGUUAUCCUAGAUGAUAAUUUGCAAACAUUAUCUUUGGGCAUGUUUGAUGGAGAGAUAUGUUUAAUAUGCUCAUAAUUUAGGAGGAUUCCUGAAGGAAAAAAUUAGUAGUGUGCCACCUGGUGUAGGGAAGUCAUUGAGAGUUAUUACCAAUGACUUGGAUUUGAGUCUUGCCCUUCCCUAAUUUUUGGCUAGCCUUCCUUUUGUCUAGUUCCCACAAAAAAUGAAAAAAAGAAGCAAAAGAAGAAUUGGUACAUGAAAUCUGAAAAUUUAUAUUUGCUUGCAUACUCCAUCAAUAUGCAAAACUAAAAAUUGAGGGCUUGAUAGAUGCACUCUUGGAAGGCAAUUUAUUCCUUACCCACUGUGUGCCAGCCUUGUAAACCUUUUGCACCAUGUCAAUUAGAUAUAUUGUAUUAAAAUCUUGAAAGGCUUUAGCUGGGGCACUUCUUCCAUGAAAAAUGAUAUCAUAUUAAAAAUUAGCUAACAGUUGUGGCAUGAAUUAAUUGCAUUUACUUGAAGACUGAAGUAGAAUGCCUUUUUAUUUUCUCUAUAUGCAAUUGGAUGUAUUUGAAUGCAUGCUAACUGCUAAGAUCUUUUUAUUUUUUUCGUUUUGUUAGCGUAGAAUAAAACAUUGGUAUCACAACUACAACAGGAGUAACAUCUUGUUGUGUUAUCAGUUCAAUUUAACCUUCUGCUUCUAGACAAUUGCAUAACUUUUCACAAAUUUUCACUGCUGGAGAUAAAAGAUAUAAAUUAGAGGGAAAGCCAAUAAAAAUUGCAGAAACUAUCUUAAGGAACUUCUACUUAGGGGUGUAAGUGGAUUGAAAAAAAUCCAAAAUCCAAACCGAGCCAAAUUGAACUAGAGGAUUGGAUCGGAUUUUGGUUUUGGAUUUGGAGUCAAUUUUUAAAAAUUUUGGACGUUGGACUUGGAUUUGGAUUUAAUGUUAUCAAAUCCAAAUCCAAUCCAAAGUCCAAACCAUGGGUCCAAACCAAAUCCAAUCCAUUCUUCUAGUUUGGACUUUUGGAUUUUACACACACACACACACAUAUAUAUAUAUAUACAUAUACAUAUACAUACAUAUACACAUACAUAAUAUGUGCGUGUAUUCAAGUUUAGUUUCUUUUUAAUGUUAUGGAACUUAUUAUAUUUUAGUGAUGUAGUUUUUCUUGAAAAUCUAAAACUUAUGUUUUUGACAUGAUGCUAUUAUAGCACGACUUGUUGAGAUCCUUGGUAUUGAAAUUUAUAUUUUUUUAUUUCUUAUCCAUUGCUAUUAUAAUGUUAGUUGUUAGAUGUAGGGUGAUAUUAUAGAGUACCUAUAAGUAGUAUAUACUUCGAAUUCAUAUAACUUGCUUUUGAAUUAUGAUUCAAAUUAUAGUCUAAUGUAUGUAAAAAUUCAAAAAUCUAGUCCAACCCAAUCCAAACUUUUCGAACUGGAUUGGAUUGGAUUAGUAGAGUAUUUGGUUUGUUUUGGUGCUAAGUUUCUAAAUCUAAAAUAUUUUGGAUUGGAGUUGGAUUUAGGUAUAAUCCAAUCCAAUCCAGUCCAUUUACACCCCUAUUUUUACUUUGCAUAGGCACUGUUCAACUUUUAGAUUGGAGUAAUUUUGCAACUUCCGUUCAUGUUUUUAAUCUUUGAGAUGCCAGAUCUUGUGCCAUGCUUUGCUCCAUUGAUUCUGUAGCUCUCCAACGGCUGGUCACUGGAGUACAGUUAAAUAUACUUUUUAGAACCUUCUGCUUCUUGGCAAUCUCAUUGCAAACCUUCUUAGCCUCCUUGAAUUUCCCACCUUACAGAAGCCAUAAAUCAGUUGGAGACUAGUCACCACUGGACUUCAUACCUUUUGACCUCAUCUUAACCAUCAGGACCGUUGCUUCGAUCCAUUUCUUCAUUCUGCUGUCUUUUAAUCCUAAAAUUAUAUAUGAAUGGAGUUGGUGGGCAGCCGUUCUGUCAUUGGUUUCAAAACCCUUUCAAACUCAUCAUACUUCUCUUCCAUAUAAAAUCCUUGGAUCGGGAUAUGGUUUGUCAUUUGAUCAGGUAAGCAGCCAUUCUUCAUAUGCAUCUCUUCCAAAAUGGCAUAUCCAGAUGCUCUUUGACCUAGGCAGCUAUAGACAAACUGCAUACAUGGUAUAUGGAGACAUCAAGUUCAAUUCCAUGCAUUCAUGCAUGUUCUAGAAAUGCAUGAUUCACUCCCUCAAUAUUCAUUUUCUGCACACAUAUCUUGAUCAGCUCCUCCGGUGGUCUGCUGUUGGUGCAGACACCUUGACGUUCCAUCUCCCAAAGGUGCAUGAUGCUUGAUAUGGUAUCUGUUGGCUGGCAUAUAGGUAGAUCAUAUAACAGAAGAACCCCUUGCUCUGAAGCUUUGGGCAUGGGCAGGACUUCAGGUGUUUGAUCAUGGAAACAUUGGUGCAGGAUGAUGUGUGUUUUGUUUCCUUGUGCUUUGUGGUUGAGAUCCAGACUCUUUUUAUAGGACUGUUUGGAGCAGGUUGCAUUUUGGUGAUUAUCCAAGUGAAGCUGGGAGCUGUGACCUUGUUGGACAGGGUAGGCUCCUUAUUGUGAUUGAUGGAGUGGUUUUGAAAGAUAUGAUUGUUGUUGAGCAAAGAGGUUCAUUGGCUUAAGGAGAUAUGGGCACUCAGAAGGCAAGAAAGAAGCAAGACUUCAGUAUAGCUGGCAAGAUUUGUUUAUAACUUAGUCAUAUGAUAAUUUGGAUAAAUUAUAUUAUAAUUUUGAUAAUGUGGGUAAAUUGUAUUCAAAUUUUGAUAACUUGGGUAUGUUGUUUUCAAAUUUUGAUGAGAGAAUUAGGUGGGAAAAGGUAAGUGUAAAUGAUGGAAUCAGGUUCAUACAAUCUACAUGUGAAUUGAUGGAAACUAGUUCAUCCAAGCUUUCUGAUUCGUUUGGACAUUGCCAAAUUGUACUUUGUUUGCUCGGAUAGCUUGGGUGAGCAGUUAAGCAUGAUGGGUGCUAAAACAAGCACACGUCUCUGAUGUGG